rnacentral:rRNA from 1 species
CCUACGGGAGGCAGCAGUGAGGAAUAUUGGACAAUGGGCGCAAGCCUGAUCCAGCCAUGCCGCGUGCAGGAUGACGGUCCUAUGGAUUGUAAACUGCUUUUAUACGAGAAGAAACACCCCUACGUGUAGGGACUUGACGGUAUCGUAAGAAUAAGGAUCGGCUAACUCCGUGCCAGCAGCCGCGGUAAUACGGAGGAUCCAAGCGUUAUCCGGAAUCAUUGGGUUUAAAGGGUCCGUAGGCGGUUUAGUAAGUCAGUGGUGAAAUCUCCCCGCUCAACGGGGAAACGGCCAUUGAUACUGCUAGACUUGAAUUAUUAGGAAGUAACUAGAAUAUGUAGUGUAGCGGUGAAAUGCUUAGAGAUUACAUGGAAUACCAAUUGCGAAGGCAGGUUACUACUAAUGGAUUGACGCUGAUGGACGAAAGCGUGGGUAGCGAACAGGAUUAGAUACCCUGGUAGUCCACGCCGUAAACGAUGGAUACUAGCUGUUGGAAGCAAUUUCAGUGGCUAAGCGAAAGUGAUAAGUAUCCCACCUGGGGAGUACGUUCGCAAGAAUGAAACUCAAAUGAAAUUGACGG